UAUUUGGCUUUUUAGAGCUUAUGUCAUUGGAUAUGUGUACAUAUGUAUGUAGUGUGUGAACGUAGUAGAUAAUAGAUUCUAAAAUAAAAAUUAUAGUUGAAGUAAAUGUUGGCGAAAAAGUGAGUACAAACAAACAUUGCGAAAAAGGCCGAGUAAAAACACUUACGGAAGCGUAAAAUCACGAUGCUGCUUGCUUGUUGAGUUUCAGCGCGGUAGCUAGUCACUCUGGGAGUGUUCUUUGCUACGGUUCGAGUGCCAAUUUUAGUGAAGCGUGCUUGUUGUGAAAGAAAACGCGCUGACACAACUACAACUGCGUGUAGUAUUGGAGAAUCGAAGCAGAAAAUUAGCGAAACGCUGUGACGAGCGCCAAAAAUAUAACGCAAGUCACAAGAACAACCAGGCGAAAUAAAUAUUUCAUAAAGAAACGUGAAAUAAUAAAAAAAAAAGUAGAAAGAGCUGAGAAAUCGAGCGUUAAACGGAAAAUGUGCGAAUUAUUUAAAAAUGAUUUCCGAAAAUAAAUUAGACGCGUGACGAAAACGAAACCACAAAUAAAAGCAUAAUUGAGUAAAAAAAUAAUUUUGUUGAAAAGAGAACUGUAUAAUCAAAAACAAAAAAAUCGCAUAAAAAAAAAUAUUUUAAAACAAAUUAUUAUUUCUCCCAAUAAGUUAGACAAACGUAAAAAAAUUAAAUUGUAAUUAUUCAACUGCGAAAAACUACGAACAAAACGAACACGAGCUACGAACAUACACACGAACAUACCUACACUCUACGACGACAUCAUCGUAUCAAAACACACAACGUUUUUGGGCCAAACGCCAACAAUAGCAAACACCGUUGUUCUACAAAUAAGCGGGCGCGUCGCGCAGGCAAUCAGGCCAGGCCGUCAGUCAGUCAGUUGUUGAAGCGAUUAGAAAACCUGCAAUAAAAAAUCAAAAUCAGCUGAAAUUUUUCAGUCACAACACACCCAAACGCCCAUGUUUCCACGCUCACAAGCACACACAACUUGACAACAAGAAAUAAAUAAAAACUGCAGCUGACAUCGGCGCGGUCAACAACAACGACGACAUAACGAUGAUGUACGAAUAAAU